rnacentral:rRNA from 1 species
GGUGAACGCUGGCGGCGUGCCUAAUACAUGCAAGUCGAGCGAACGGACGAGAAGCUUGCUUCUCUGAUGUUAGCGGCGGACGGGUGAGUAACACGUGGAUAACCUACCUAUAAGACUGGGAUAACUUCGGGAAACCGGAGCUAAUACCGGAUAAUAUUUUGAACCGCAUGGUUCAAAAGUGAAAGACGGUCUUGCUGUCACUUAUAGAUGGAUCCGCGCUGCAUUAGCUAGUUGGUAAGGUAACGGCUUACCAAGGCAACGAUGCAUAGCCGACCUGAGAGGGUGAUCGGCCACACUGGAACUGAGACACGGUCCAGACUCCUACGGGAGGCAGCAGUAGGGAAUCUUCCGCAAUGGGCGAAAGCCUGACGGAGCAACGCCGCGUGAGUGAUGAAGGUCUUCGGAUCGUAAAACUCUGUUAUUAGGGAAGAACAUAUGUGUAAGUAACUGUGCACAUCUUGACGGUACCUAAUCAGAAAGCCACGGCUAACUACGUGCCAGCAGCCGCGGUAAUACGUAGGUGGCAAGCGUUAUCCGGAAUUAUUGGGCGUAAAGCGCGCGUAGGCGGUUUUUUAAGUCUGAUGUGAAAGCCCACGGCUCAACCGUGGAGGGUCAUUGGAAACUGGAAAACUUGAGUGCAGAAGAGGAAAGUGGAAUUCCAUGUGUAGCGGUGAAAUGCGCAGAGAUAUGGAGGAACACCAGUGGCGAAGGCGACUUUCUGGUCUGUAACUGACGCUGAUGUGCGAAAGCGUGGGGAUCAAACAGGAUUAGAUACCCUGGUAGUCCACGCCGUAAACGAUGAGUGCUAAGUGUUAGGGGGUUUCCGCCCCUUAGUGCUGCAGCUAACGCAUUAAGCACUCCGCCUGGGGAGUACGACCGCAAGGUUGAAACUCAAAGGAAUUGACGGGGACCCGCACAAGCGGUGGAGCAUGUGGUUUAAUUCGAAGCAACGCGAAGAACCUUACCAAAUCUUGACAUCCUUUGACAACUCUAGAGAUAGAGCUUUCCCCUUCGGGGGACAAAGUGACAGGUGGUGCAUGGUUGUCGUCAGCUCGUGUCGUGAGAUGUUGGGUUAAGUCCCGCAACGAGCGCAACCCUUAAGCUUAGUUGCCAUCAUUAAGUUGGGCACUCUAAGUUGACUGCCGGUGACAAACCGGAGGAAGGUGGGGAUGACGUCAAAUCAUCAUGCCCCUUAUGAUUUGGGCUACACACGUGCUACAAUGGACAAUACAAAGGGCAGCGAAGCCGCGAGGUCAAGCAAAUCCCAUAAAGUUGUUCUCAGUUCGGAUUGUAGUCUGCAACUCGACUACAUGAAGCUGGAAUCGCUAGUAAUCGUAGAUCAGCAUGCUACGGUGAAUACGUUCCCGGGUCU